rnacentral:rRNA from 1 species
CCCCUAGAUGUUCUGGGCCGCACGCGCGCUACACUGAACAGUUCAACAAGUCUUAACCUUGGCCGAUAGGUCUGGGUAAUCUUUGAACGCUGUUCGUGAUGGGGAUAGAUUAUUGCAAUUAUUAAUCUUCAACGAGGAAUGCCUAGUAAGCGCAAGUCAUCAGCUUGCGUUGAUUACGUCCCUGCCCUUUGUACACACCGCCCGUCGCUCCUACCGAUUGAAUGGUCCGGUGAAGCGUUCGGACCGUGGCCUUUGGACGGUUCGCCGUCUGUUGGCUGCGGGAAGUUCGUUAAACCUUAUCAUUUAGAGGAAGGAGAAGUCGUAACA